rnacentral:misc_RNA from 1 species
GAGCAUUCUAAUCUUAUUCAAAUACUAAUAGUAUACAAAAACUCUAUUUACUGGAAAUUUCAAAACACAAUUGAAACUUUCAAUUAGACAAUUCCACACAAAUCAAAUCAAAAUCAGACACUAGACAACGUAUUGGGUACACGUCGACAUACGUAUUUAUACGUUCUUCUUUAUUAUACAGCUAAAAAAGGGAUUCAAGCUAAGAGCUUUUUUUUUCUUUCUUGUCUUGCCAAACUUUCUUCUCAGCUUCUAUCCUCGCUUUGACGUUUGCGUGAAAACCGCUAUAUGGUUCGUAUUUGAAUAAAGCAUGAAGAAUCUCCAACACAACAAAGAACGGAGCCAUUAGGAAAGCUUGAGUAAGGUUGUCGAUGAGAGCGGGUGCUCGUUUCUCAAACACCCCAUGGCCGAUGAACUGACUUGUCCAGCAAAACAACUGUGAGGCCAACACUACCUUCCAAGUAAGACUCCAUCCAAGUUUAAAAGCGAAAACACUAGCUCCAACCCAGCAGAGAAAACACAUAAAAGCGGCCAAAGAUCCAGCUCUCUUGUCAAAAAGUACAUACAAAAGAGCAUAAAGCAAAGCAAACAAGAACCCAAAAUUCAAAACGAGGCCAGUAUUGAACCCACAUGGGCAUUUGGGAAAAGAAUAGAAGGAAGGAGUGUAAUAGAAGAGCAUGAGCGCAGUGAAGAAGAUUGGCCAGACGAAGAGAAUAUGGAUGAAAAUAUUAGUUGGGUUGCUGUGAUAAGCCCCAUAGAAUGCAAAAUGCCUCUCGAGAUCCAACAAUCCACGCCUUCCCAUUGAAAUUUGGAAGGAAUCGAGUCGAAUGGAACGAGAAAUUCAGAAAGAAACGGUGGAAACUGA